CAAGGCUGUGAUAUAUGGAGGAAUGUGUUCUUUCAACAGAAACAGUCGGUUCAACAUCUAUCUCCUCCUCCUCUUCUGACCAAGGCUCCACACUAAAUGCUUCAUUCCCCAGCUGUCUUUGUGCACCCAUGUGGCCAUGUGGGUCCACUCUGGCCCAUGUGAUGUAAGUAGAAUUGUUGAGCAGCAGGACGUCCAAAAGGACUCCUUAAAAGGAGCCAAACUACUGAGUAUGGCUUUUUUUUUUUUUUUUUUUCCUGCUGCUUUGAAUGCAGCUGUGAUUGCAGGAACAAAGCUACUCUCUUGGGGCAUGAGGUGAUCUAGAAGAUACAACCACCUUCAGUCAAAGUGCCUGAGGGAAUGAUAGGAGAAGCUGGACUCUCUGAUAAGAUCACAGAUCCAGUGCACAGGGGAGGAUUGCCUGCCUUCAGAUUCCUUUCAUGUGAAAAGACAGACCUUUAUAUGUGUGAGCCUCUGUUAGCUUGUGUCUUCUGUUUUAUGCAGCCAAACUUAACCUUAACUGCCACACACCAUCUACUUAUAUUUCAUGAUGCUCUCUCUAAUCUCUUAGGUAAUUGUGUCCCCCCAGAAACCUAUGGAGAGCUGAAGGGGUUUUAGGAUCUUGGAAUCCACCCUCCUCCUUUGGUACAAGAGGACAAAAGCCAGAGAGCAGUGCGAUGGCUGAGCUACAUCCCUUAGCUCAAUUUCCAUUUGGAGUGGCUUCUGGAAGGCUGCAAUUGAAAUCCACCAGGGCCCAUUUCAAGGUGUUCCCAACAUCGCCUGGGAAAAAGGAGCCCGAAUGCGCUUCCCUGUGGAUGCAGAACUUCAGCGUGAGAGGGGCUAUGCCUGCUGCCUUGUGGCUGCAGAAGGAGAGAGAAGGAGCCUCUCCAAAAAGGGGUUACAGGAAAGCCCUGAGGCGAGAUACUCACUUCAGAGGGUUCAAGACAAGGACACUCACUUUGUUCUGUGCGGUGUGGAGACACGGGUGAGUGCUCCUCAGUGGCACCAACUGGUUCCCUGUUGUCCUCAGCUGCCAGUGCCCUGGGACAUGUCAUUUGGACAAAACACUUUUCCAUGUCCUGCCAUCCAUUCCACGGAGGCAGGAGAAAGGGGUCUGGAGGCAGGAACAUAAGGCCGAUUCACCCUGACUUUGGAGAACUAAAUCAAAUGGAAACUCUUGGGCUAUGACAGGAAAUAUCCUCUCCAUUUACACAGGGCGUCCACCGAGUACAUGACUUUGUCAUUUGACUUCAUCCUCUUCAUUUACAUAGGGUGCACACCAGGUAACCAAUGGAAACCUCUAGAGGGGAUUUGAACCCCAGAAACUUCAGUAACAGGCUCCCUGUGCUCAGGCGCUCCCACCCUGUGGAGUGUGCUUUCAUUUUGCGUCAGUCUCUGCUUUGCUGCUUCAUUCUUUCCUUACUCCAUUUUUGUGGUGUGUCCAAUUCUUGGUUCAAGGCAUCAAGAACUGGGACACCUUCAACCAGUAACAUUAUCUUAAUAUCUUGUUUUAAAACUGAAUUCUGCUUUUCAUCUGUUCACCUAGUUUUUAGAAGAUGACAAUGAAAUACAACUUGGAACUUACCACAGCUUAAUACGAGGGUCAAUAUGAGCUAUACAACAGGUUUGAUGUUUAAAAGUUGGCAACAUUUUUUAUUACUCUUUCAUUUACAAACUACAGUAAAUAUUUUAUUUUUUAUAUUUAAUUAUGAAAUAUAUGACACAUAAGAGUCUAUAAAAUUUGGGUGGGCACGGUGGCUCAUGCCUGUAAUCCCAGCAUUUUCGGAGGCUGAGGCGGGUGGAUCAUUUGAGGUCAGGUGUUCAAGACGAGCCUGGCCAAUAUGGUGAAACCCGUCUCUACUAAAAAAAUACAAAGAGUGAGCUGAGCAUCAUGACAGGUACCUGUGAUCCUAGCCACUCAGGAGGCUGAGGUGGGAGAGUUGUUUGCACCCAGGAGAGAGAAGUUGCAGUGAGCCGAGAUCGUGCCGUUACACUCUAGCCUGGGCUACCUGAGCAAAACUCCACCUCAAAAACAAAAAAAUAAACAAAACUGAAUGCAUAAUCCGAUAGAUUAAUAAUUGCACUGAUGUCAUCAUCCAUUAGCAUCGAGUGUCUUGAAAGGCUACAAUAUGCCCUUCCUUGAUCACCUGGAUCUCCCUUCUUCACCCAGACAUAGGACUAACGUGUUAAUGUUUGUCUUGCUUUUCAUAAGGUUUAUCAUUUCUGUGUAUAUUAUUAAGCAAUGUCAUAUAUAAUGGUUUGUGAACUGUAUAUGGAAUAGCAGUGUAUUUUUCAGCAAUUUCCUUUGUUCACUGUAAUUUUUCAUUGUUGAUGCUUCUAACCGCAGUUCAUUUUCACAGCUGUAUCA